rnacentral:rRNA from 1 species
AGAGUUUGAUCAUGGCUCAGGACGAACGCUGGCGGCGUGCCUAAUACAUGCAAGUCGAGCGGAGUUGAUGAGGUGCUUGCACCUCUGAGACUUAGCGGCGGACGGGUGAGUAACACGUAGGUAACCUGCCUGUAAGACUGGGAUAACCCACGGAAACGUGAGCUAAUACCGGAUAAUAUUUUGAACCGCAUGGUUCGAAAUUGAAAGGCGGCUUCGGCUGUUGCUUAUGGAUGGACCCGCGUCGCAUUAGCUAGUUGGUGAGGUAACGGCUCACCAAGGCAACGAUGCGUAGCCGACCUGAGAGGGUGAUCGGCCACACUGGGACUGAGACACGGCCCAGACUCCUACGGGAGGCAGCAGUAGGGAAUCUUCCGCAAUGGACGAAAGUCUGACGGAGCAACGCCGCGUGAGUGAUGAAGGUUUUCGGAUCGUAAAGCUCUGUUGCCAGGGAAGAAUGCUUGGGAGAGUAACUGCUCUCAAGGUGACGGUACCUGAGAAGAAAGCCCCGGCUAACUACGUGCCAGCAGCCGCGGUAAUACGUAGGGGGCAAGCGUUGUCCGGAAUUAUUGGGCGUAAAGGGCUCGCAGGCGGUUUCUUAAGUCUGAUGUGAAAGCCCCCGGCUCAACCGGGGAGGGUCAUUGGAAACUGGGAAACUUGAGUGCAGAAGAGGAGAGUGGAAUUCCACGUGUAGCGGUGAAAUGCGUAGAGAUGUGGAGGAACACCAGUGGCGAAGGCGACUCUCUGGUCUGUAACUGACGCUGAGGAGCGAAAGCGUGGGGAGCGAACAGGAUUAGAUACCCUGGUAGU